CAGCAGGCGCGAAACCUCUGCAAUAGGCGAAAGCCUGACAGGGUUACUCUGAGUGACUUUCGUUAAGAGAGUCUUUUGGCACCUCUAAAAAGGGUGUAGAAUAAGGGGUGGGCAAGUCUGGUGUCAGCCGCCGCGGUAAUACCAGCACCCCGAGUGGUUGGGACGAUUAUUGGGCCUAAAGCAUCCGUAGCCGGUUCUGCAAGUCCUCCGUUAAAUCCAACUGCUUAACAGAUGGGCCGCGGAGGAUACUACAGAGCUAGGAGGCAGGAGAGGCAAGCGGUACUCAGUGGGUAGGGGUAAAAUCCGUUGAUCCAUUGAAGACCACCAGUGGCGAAGGCGGCUUGCCAGAAUGCGCUCGACGGUGAGGGAUGAAAGCUGGGGGAGCAAACCGGAUUAGAUACCCGGGUAGUCCCAGCCGUAAACGAUGCAGACUCGGUGAUGGGUUGGCUUCGUGCUAACCCAGUGCCGCAGGGAAGCCGUUAAGUCUGCCGCCUGGGUAGUACGGCCGCAAGGCUGAAACUUAAAGGAAUUGGCGGGGGAGCAC
rnacentral:rRNA from 1 species